rnacentral:rRNA from 1 species
UCCGAAGGGGGCUAGCGUUGCUCGGAAUCACUGGGCGUAAAGCGCACGUAGGCGGCUUCUUAAGUCAGGGGUGAAAUCCUGGAGCUCAACUCCAGAACUGCCUUUGAUACUGAGGAGCUUGAGUUCGGGAGAGGUGAGUGGAACUCCGAGUGUAGAGGUGAAAUUCGUAGAUAUUCGGAAGAACACCAGUGGCGAAGGCGGCUCACUGGCCCGAUACUGACGCUGAGGUGCGAAAGCGUGGGGAGAAAACAGG